rnacentral:rRNA from 1 species
AUUGAACGCUGGCGGCAGGCUUAACACAUGCAAGUCGAGCGGGGAAAAGUAGCUUGCUACUUAACUUAGCGGCGGACGGGUGAGUAAUACUUAGGAAUCUACCUAAUAGUGGGGGACAACAUCUCGAAAGGGAUGCUAAUACCGCAUACGCCCUACGGGGGAAAGCAGGGGAUCUUCGGACCUUGCGCUAAUAGAUGAGCCUAAGUCGGAUUAGCUAGUUGGUGGGGUAAAGGCCUACCAAGGCGACGAUCUGUAGCGGGUCUGAGAGGAUGAUCCGCCACACUGGGACUGAGACACGGCCCAGACUCCUACGGGAGGCAGCAGUGGGGAAUAUUGGACAAUGGGGGGAACCCUGAUCCAGCCAUGCCGCGUGUGUGAAGAAGGCCUUUUGGUUGUAAAGCACUUUAAGCGAGGAGGAGGCUCCCAGUAUUAAUACUACUGGAGAGUGGACGUUACUCGCAGAAUAAGCACCGGCUAACUCUGUGCCAGCAGCCGCGGUAAUACAGAGGGUGCAAGCGUUAAUCGGAUUUACUGGGCGUAAAGCGUGCGUAGGUGGCCAAUUAGGUCAAAUGUGAAAUCCCCGAGCUUAACUUGGGAAUUGCAUUCGAUACUGGUUGGCUAGAGUAUGGGAGAGGAUGGUAGAAUUCCAGGU